rnacentral:rRNA from 1 species
AUUGAACGCUGGCGGCAGGCCUAACACAUGCAAGUCGAGCGGAUGACGGGAGCUUGCUCCUUGAUUCGGCGGCGGACGGGUGAGUAAUGCCUAGGAAUCUGCCUGGUAGUGGGGGACAACGUUUCGAAAGGAACGCUAAUACCGCAUACGUCCUACGAGAGAAAGCAGGGGACCUUCGGGCCUUGCGCUAUCAGAUGAGCCCAGGUCGGAUUAGCUAGUUGGUGGGGUAAUGGCUCACCAAGGCGACGAUCCGUAACUGGUCUGAGAGGAUGAUCAGUCACACUGGAACUGAGACACGGUCCAGACUCCUACGGGAGGCAGCAGUGGGGAAUAUUGGACAAUGGGCGAAAGCCUGAUCCAGCCAUGCCGCGUGUGUGAAGAAGGUCUUCGGAUUGUAAAGCACUUUAAGUUGGGAGGAAGGGCAGUAAGUUAAUACCUUGCUGUUUUGACGUUACCGACAGAAUAAGCACCGGCUAACUCUGUGCCAGCAGCCGCCGUAAAAC